rnacentral:rRNA from 1 species
UACGUAGGGGGCUAGCGUUGUCCGGAUUUAUUGGGCGUAAAGAGCGUGUAGGCGGCCAGGUAGGUCUGCUGUGAAAACUCGAGGCUCAACCUCGAGACGUCGGCGGAAACCAUCUGGCUAGAGUCCGGAAGAGGAGAGUGGAAUUCCUGGUGUAGCGGUGAAAUGCGUUGAUAUCAGAAGGAACGCCGGCGGCGAAAGCGGCGCACUGGAUCUUUUCUGACGCUGAGGCGCGAAAGCCAGGGGAGCAAACGGG